rnacentral:rRNA from 1 species
AGGAUGAACGCUGGCGGUCUGCUUAACACAUGCAGGUCGAACGGAGUACCUCGGUACUUAGUGGCGGACGGGUGAGUAACGCGUGAGAAUCUGCCCUUAGGUCGGGGACAACCAUUGGAAACGAUGGCUAAUACCGGAUAAGCCGAGAGGUAAAAGAUUAAUUGCCUAGGGAAGAGCUCGCGUCUGAUUAGCUAGUUGGUGAGGUAAAGGCUCACCAAGGCAUCGAUCAGUAGCUGGUCUGAGAGGAUGAUCAGCCACACUGGGACUGAGACACGGCCCAGACUCCUACGGGAGGCAGCAGUGGGGAAUUUUCCGCAAUGGGCGAAAGCCUGACGGAGCAAGACCGCGUGAGGGAGGAAGGCUCUUGGGUUGUAAACUCCUUUUGAUCGGGAAGAGAUAGGACGGUACCGAUCGAAGACGCCCGGCUAACUCGUGCCAGCAGCCGC